rnacentral:tRNA from 1 species
GGAUGGUUAGCUCAGUUGACUGAGUGUGGUGCUGAUAACACUAACGUUGCGGGUUUGAUCCCCGUUCGGUCCC